UUGCCGUUGGGAGGGCGCCGCGCGCCGGCCGCGUCCCUGCCGGUGCCACCUGGAAACGGCGAGGCGCUCCCCGGCGCUUCCCGGCGCUCCCCGGCGCUUCCCGGCGGCCGCCCUCGCCCCGCCUGCCCUGAGCGGCCUCGGGGUGCUGCUGCUGGAGCUCUAUUCUGAUCUUGUUCCCUCAGCCCUUCCUGCCAGAUUUUAACGUUUUUAUGAUAUGGAAUAAUCAUCUUGAAAGUAUGUUAAGUAAACGUAUAUACAGUCAGUGAUUCAUUCUCCAGAGUUUAUCGUUUAUGCGGUUUAAAAAGCUGCCGAUUGGCCAUGAGUUCAUCUUCUCCAGUCAACUACUCUGUCACAGAAGCUAGAAGGCUCCCUUCAGGUACUGGAAGGCCACAAUUAGGUCACCCUGAAGCAUUCUCUUUUCCAGGCUUACAUAGUGAGGAAUGUGAGUUACUACAGAAGAGCAAUGACUCAGAAUUGGAUGCUGUUUUAGGUCUGAGAUGGAAACUUCUUCAAGCUAAAAAAGAAAAUUUGGACUUAACUAUUCAACACAAUCAAGAAGUGUCCAACUAUGAAAAGCAGAUAAUCAAAUUACGGUCAGAAUUUGAGAGAGGAGAGGCUGUUCGACAAGGCCUGGAGUAUGAAUUGGCAGUUGCCAGAAAAGGUGCCCAUCUGAAAAUGUGUACUGCAGAACAAGAAUUAAAUGAUGCAAAAAACAAACUUGUGGAAUUGCAAGUAUUCAAUGAAAAUCUUCAGCAGAAAGUGACAGAGACUGAGAAAACAUUUCAUAAUGCUCAACAGAAGUGGGAAGAAGAACAGCAAAGACUUGCAAGGGCAAAGGAUGAUAUCAGCAGAAUUUAUAACAAUGAAUAUGUAUGCCUUCUUAAGGAAAGAAAUGAAGUAGAAACGAUUUUACUGGAGCUGAAUAAUGAACUGCAAAAUAUACGCAAGAAAUUGAAAGAUGUGGAGGUGGAACACAGUGGCUGUAAUGAGGUGCUGAGAUACCAGGCCAAUGAACUUAAAUGCAGCACUGAACGAGAGAAGAAACUUAAAGAGGAACUUGAAGCAGCUGCACUAAGAACAAAGAAACUGGAAGAAAACAUUGAAGCCGAGAGAGCAGCACAUUUAGCAUCCAAUUUUACUUCAGAGAUCAUCCAGUUAAGAAUUCAAGAACUUGAAGAAGCUGUGCAUGUGGAAAAGGACAGACGACAAGAAGCUCUUUCAGAUUUAGAAAGGAUCAAGAAAGAGUUCAAAGGGUUAGAAUAUGCAUAUGAGAGAGAAAAACACAAUGCCCAAGAGAACUUGGAAAAACUCAAUGUAUUAGAAAGAGAGUGUUUCUCCUCAAACAAUCAAAUGAAAGAAGUGAUUGAGGAAAAGAAGAAGGUAAUUAUAGACCUCUCUGAGAGACUAACGAAUGCUGAAAAAAGCUGCAGAGAAUUACAGAGUGAACUUACAAUGGCCAAGAAACACCAGGUCUUUCUAACAGAGACGUAUGAAAACAACAUGAGAGAGCUGGAGUUACUCUUGGACAGCUUUGCUAUGUCAGGCCAGCGGACAGCAGGCACUUGUGAGGACAAAGAUAAACCUCUGAGCUGGUCUGUCGUUGAGACUUUGAGGUGUACCUUGACAGCUUACCAGAACAAGCUGGAAGAUAUGUCUAAUGAGCUUGAGAAAACAAAGACUUUGUGUAAAAAGAUGACAAAAGAACUUGAUGUAUCUGAGGAGAAAAUGUGUGCUUUAAGACAAGACCUUAAGGAAGCUCAGGAUACUAUGGCUGAUGCCAAUAAAGAGUUAAACCAUCUGCACGCUAAGUGUGCAAACAGAGAGACUUUAAUAGAAACUUUAAAAAUGGAACUACAGGAUGUACAGCAAUGCUGGGAGAAAGAGCAAGUACGUGCCACAGAAUCUGAAAAUGAAAUCCAGAAGCUUACCACGGCUUACCAGAAGGAUAUAGAGGAGAAGCUAACCUUCCUUCAUAGCUUAUAUCAGCAUUUGAUAGCAGGCUGUGUGCUUAUAAAACAACCAGAAGGCAUUCUAGAUAGAUUCUCUUGGCCUGAGCUUUGUGUAGUGUUGCAGGAGAAUGUUGAUGCCCUGAUCUCAGACCUCAACAGGGCUAAUGAGAAGAUAUCUCACCUGGAAUAUAUUUGUAAAAACAAAUCCAAUACUAUGAAAGAGCUUCAGCAGAGCCAGGAAGAUGCUUUUAACAAAAUGGCUGAACAGAUGAAAGCACAGGCAAGCUGUUGGCAGAAUGAAAAAAAGUAUCUGGAACAGCAGUACUCAGGUCUCCUUGGGGAAGUUCAUGCAAGGGCACAGGAAUACCAAGAAGCAGCAGAGAAAAAUAUGGAAAAAAUUUAUGUCCUUGAAAAAAGUCAAGAGAAAUUGGCUCUUGAAAGCAUAUCUGUGAAAAAGAUGUUAACACAGUUUCAGAAGGAGCAUUCCUCGCUCCUGGCAGCCUGUGCGCUAUUGGCAGGUGCCCUGUAUCCUCUGUAUGGCCGAUUGUGUGCUAUGUCUUACCAAAGAGACCUUCUCCAGGAUCAGGUGAACAUUUAUGAAUUAGUGAACCAGAAGAUUAAGACACUAGUUUAUGCUCUCUCUGAUGAUAAGGAAAACAAUCAAGAUGAAGCAAAACUAAAGAAAAGAAAAUCCCAAGGCCUGAUUUAUGUAUUCCGAAGAGCUGUGAUUGCAGUUUUGGCAGCCAACAGACUUAAAGUUUUAGCACAGUCUUCUAGUUCCCUCUUCACCUGGACAAAUGGCUUAAAAGAAGGCAUUGGAAUUCCAGUUUGUGUAGGAGAAUCCAAAGGCAAGCAUAAUCUGUCAAGUUGUGAAGAGGAGGAUCUUGACUGUGUGGAAACACUCAGCUGGUUUGCUAGUUCCAACCUCCUUGCUGCAAUAAUCAGUUCUGUCACUGAAUUGCAGGAUGUUGUUAACAAACCAGGUACAAAGUUCUGGCUUUCUGGAAGGUUACUUUUAAAUGCAGCCAGGAAUUCAUUUUCAAAACUUAUGGACAAGCUGAAUGUUAUAAUGGAGGCGGUUCCAUUAGACCACAGAAAGUACAAUCCUUGUCUGGAGAAAGACUCGUUGGUUCAGAGCCUGGCUUAUGGACUUAAUAAAAUAAAUACCCAGGCCAUGGAAGCUGGAGUGUGUGACAGAGUAUCCAGUAUGAAAAACAUAGAAUCCUUGCAGAAGCAAAUAUUUGAAUUUACACAAAGGCUUCAUGCAGCAGAAGUGGAACGCCGCUCACUGCGCUUUCGACUUGCAGAAUUCAAAUCGAAUUUCAGUGAGAUGAAAAAAGAAGCAGAUAAAGCCCAGAGCCUGCAAGAGCAAUUAAAUAUACUUAAGCAAAAAUUGAUCACCCAUGAGAGGUUUGAAAGUGUAUGUGAAGAAUUAAAUAAUGCAUUACAUCGGGAGCAUCAGGCACAGUUGCUUUUGAAUGAACAAGCACAACAGCUACAGGAGUUAAAUAAUAAGCUAGAAUUGCAAUCCAGUGAAGAAGCAAAUAAAACCCAAAUCUUAAGUGAAUCUGUAAAGAGUCUCUCCGAGGCAACAGUGGAGCUGAGAAGAAGAGAUCGAUUUCUGCAUCAGCAAAAUAGACUUCUUACCCAGCUGGAGCAGGACAAGAGUCGACUGAGCAAGAGCAUCCGUGAUGCAGAGAGUGCCCUCUGCAUGGCAGCAAAAGAAAGAGAAUUGAUCAUUAGUCAUAUGAAAGUUGUAGAAGACACUCUUCAUAAGGUCAGAGAUCAGGCCUUGCUGCCGUGUUCUGCAGCAGCCACGAAUGACUUCACCCUGGAGCUACCCAAACUGCACCUGGAGACCUUUUCAGAGGAAGGGCUGAAGGGCAGGCCAGAGGCUGCAGCAUUUCAGGCUGUAAUUAAAAGUUUCGUGGAAGUCUACCAACUUGCAGUUUCCAGAGUUGAAAUGUUAGUGAGAGAAACAAAAUCUCUUCAGCUUCACAUUGCAGCCCUAAGGUCCAGGCUCCAAACAGCUGGUCUUCAUGAAAGUGACAUUACAAAUGGCAUCCUCGCACACCUAAGUGUCCUGUAUUCUGGUGGAUUAGAGAUCAGAUUUUAGCCUUGUAAUUCAGCAAUUUUAUGUCAUUUACACUGAGAUAUAACAAUGAACUUCUUAUUACACCUGCUUCAUCACACAGGAAACAAGAGGUAGUUCAAGCAUUAGUGUGGCUCCAAGGUAGAAGUUCAGCCUGACCAGAGUUCUAUCCUAGACUUUUUGGCAUUGCAAGCUGAACUUGACACGUCCUACAGUGCUAUGCAAAAGAGAGACAGUUCUCUGUCUUCAAUCUGUUUCUUCAGCCUGGAUGUCACAUCCAAUCCCAGAAGAACAAUGGAAAAUGGAUUUUCAGAUUCUUAGUAUCAAUAAUCUUCUAGAAGGGAAAAAUUGUAUUAAUGUAAAAUGAUGCAAUUAAAGUGUAAUUUUUUUGCUAUAUUUGAGUUGUAGUUCAGCGUUUGUAUUUUUUGACAUUAAUUUUACAGUUUUAUGAAAAUGUGCAUUUGUAUGUUCACAUUUCUGUACUUGUCAGUUUUUGCAUACUGAAGCAGUUAUUUCUUUAAACUUUUAUUUAUUGCAGUUGUUUAUUUUUUAUGUAGUAUAUUUUUAAAUGUUAAAGAAUGGCACAUUUUGGGUAAUUUUCCUCAGUCUUAAAAAAAAAAUCAAUAAGCCAUUUUAGUCUCUAUCUAUCAAAGUUGUUUCAUACUUGUCUAUUUUAAAGCAGGACUGCAAUACUUUAAUAGGAUUGAGAGAGCUAUUUGAAAUGUAUGCCAAUGAUUCCUGUCAUUUCAUGGCAGCCCUGCCAUGGUUCACUGAGCCCCCUCUUUUCUCUUGUCAGCUCAACUGAAGACAAGCAUUUAGUUGCAAACUUUAAGCAGGUUGUGCAAAACAGAAAUGAUGUGACUGCUUCUCUUCCUGCACAAUAAUGUCACUGCUGGUCAAUGUGAGAAGGUCAGGUUGCUCCUUGUAAAGCUACAUGAUACCACUUGCCUAUUUGAACAAGUUAAGUUAACCACUGAAUCUGGUCCCUGCAGGCGCUGAAAACUCACCCUUUUAUCAAGUCUGCAUUUCAUAAGAAAGAAGAACAAUUGUGGAGGGAGGAUUUCUGAUGAUAUGUUUAUAUACUUUAUAAGGACAGUUCCCAAACCAGUGUUGCAGGUAAUGUAUUUAGUUUAAACUGAAAGACUAAAAAGUAAUGGCUGUUUUGACCUUCAAAUAGACUCCUUUUUUGUUGUUGUUGGUAGGACCCAAGAGUGACGCCCAUCUUUGAUGCUGACAGAAUUUAAAGCAAGGCCAUUGCCCUGCAUUUUCUGCCUUGUAGCACACAAAAGUAAAAUUGUAUGUCAGGCCGAGAUGUCGGGGAGCUGACAAGAUGCCCCAGUGACAUUUCAGCUGGAAAGAGCAAGUGUCUUGCAACCAAGUGGUCAAAUAUCAAAUAAUAGGUCAAGCAGGAAGGAGCUGAGUUCUAACCACAAAGAGGUUUCUGGUAACUUACUUGACAAGCUUUUGGGUGCUUUGUGGCUUGACAAAGUGAUGUUCUGUUGGGUAUCGCUAGACAGACUGUUCUUUAUUGCCUUCAGAAGAUCAGACAUUGACAUUGAUUAAACUCUUUAACCCUUAAAGGUUAAAUCCUAGCAUUUUCAUCAUUGUGAAUGAAGAACAAAAGGAAUUUUUUAAUAUACCAUUGGUUUCAUAUUAAUCACAAAUCCCUAGUGCUAUUAACUUUUGAUGUGCUGUGUAGUUUUUGACAAAAAAAUUGAAUGCAAAAUCUAUAUAAUAGAUUGUUUCGCAGUAUGGGCCAGUGAUACAUUAGAAAAAUAAUAUUAUGCAUUAUGGAAUUUGCAAUAUCUUCUAAUAUGUCAAAUGUAGGAUUUGAUUUUAAAGCUUCGUGACUACUGCUGAAAUUCCAUUUUGGAUGGAAAAGAAUAUUUGCAUAAAUGAUGUAUCACUUAAGAUAAACAAAUCUUUCAACUACCCUUGUUUUCAGGUACUCUAGAAUCAUAGAAUAUCCUGAGAAUGAAGAGACCCACAAUGAUCAUCAUGUCCAAAUCCUAGCCCUGCACAGGACAAUCCAGUGAGUCACACCUUGUGCCUGAGAACACUGUCCAAAUGCUUCUUGAACUCCCUUAGGCUGGUGCUGUGACUGCUUCCCAGGGGAGCCUAUACCAGUGCCCAACCACCCUCUGGGUGAAAACCUUUCCUUGAUAUCCCGCUUAAACCUCCUCUGUCACAACUUCAGGCCAUUCUCUUGGGUCCUGUCACUGGUCACUACAGAGAAGACAUCAGUGCCUGCCCCUCCUCUUUUCCUCUUGAGGAAGUUAUAGACUACAGUGAGGUCUCCCCUCAGUCUUCGUCUCCAUGCUGAACAAACCUAGCCACUCCUAAUAUACCUUUAAAUUUUCAACAGAAGACCACAAUCUAAGGUGGCUUCAAAUUUUCAGGUAUUCUGUAUUGUGCAGUCCAUUGCUCACAGCCUUGAUGUGCAUGUAUGUGUGUAUAAUGAUACAGAGCCAUGAAAUGCCAAAUAAAUCCUGACUAACUCUUACAUGUAAGAGUCAGAACGUUCAUGACAAGAGGAAGAACAUUCCUUUAUGUAUUUAGUCUUAAAUACCAAAGAAAAAAAUUUUUGUUUACCUCCAAGUGUCUUGGCUCCACUCUUCCCGUGACAGUGACUGUUCUUAAAGGCACCACAAAUACAGU